rnacentral:rRNA from 1 species
CUGGUCUGUAACUGACGCUGAGGCUCGAAAGUAUGAGUAGCAAACAGGAUUAGAUCCUGGUAGUCCAUACCGUAAACGAUGAAUGCUAAGUGUUGGAGGUUUCCCCUUCAGUGCUGCAGCUAACGCAUUAAGCAUUCCGCUGGGGAGUACGGCCGCAAGGCUGAAACUCAAAGGAAUUGACGGGGGCCCGCACAAGCGGUGGAGCAUGUGGUUUAAUUCGAAGCUACGCGAAGAACCUUACCAGGUCUUGACAUACUAUGCAAAUCUAAGAGAUUAGACGUUCCCUUCGGGGACAUGGAUACAGGUGGUGCAUGGUUGUCGUCAGCUCGUGUCGUGAGAUGUUGGGUUAAGUCCCGCAACGAGCGCAACCCUUAUUAUCAGUUGCCAGCAUUAAGUUGGGCACUCUGGUGAGACUGCCGGUGACAAACCGGAGGAAGGUGGGGAUGACGUCAAAUCAUCAUGCCCCUUAUGACCUGGGCUACACACGUGCUACAAUGGAUGGUACAACGAGUUGCGAACUCGCGAGAGUAAGCUAAUCUCUUAAAGCCAUUCUCAGUUCGGAUUGUAGGCUGCAACUCGCCUACAUGAAGUCGGAAUCGCUAGUAAUCGCGGAUCAGCAUGCCGCGGUGAAUACGUUCCCGGGCCUUGUACACACCGCCCGUCACACCAUGAGAGUUUGUAACACCCAAAGUCGGUGGGGUAACCUUUAGGAACCAGCCGCCUAAGGUGGGACAGAUGAUUAGGGUGAAGUCGUAACAAGGUAACCA